UUGUGUGUGUGUGUGUGAGAGAGAGAGAGAGAGGAAACAGACCUCAAGAAGAGGAAAAUAGUUUAUAUUUGACUGAAAAAACUAAUGAAUGUAUGUAUAUUGUGUUGUGUUUAAAUGGCAAGAGAAUUGUGGCAUGGUAAAUUGGUGCUUUCACAACAAUAAAAUUAGAAUUUGUUUAGUUUGCAUGUGUAAUUGUUUUAGGCAGAAAAAGAGAGGAGACUUUAAAGAUAAUUCUAAAUAACAAACACCAAAUAAUGUAACGUUUGAGAAGGUUGAAAAUUCAAGAACUAGGGAGACUGAACAUGAUGUUUUGUUAUAUAUUUGUAAGUUUAUCAUGCAAAUAUGUAUAGAUUUUGAAUGACAAACUAAGUACCUAUGGUUUUCUAUAAUAUACUCUUCUUUUGAUGAUAAUAAUACCGUCUUUUAUUUCUUUUUCCUUUGGUUAUUUUAUAGAUAUAUAGUUAUUUUAAAUUUGGUUCUCUAUUUUUAUUGAGUAAAUUUUCUUUAUAUUUCAAAUGGUAUCAAACUAAGAAAAAAAAAUCUAACAUCCAUAUCAUAAACUAAAUUACCCAAAAACAGAAUCAAUUUAAUAUUUUAAAACCAAUUAUAUUAAAUUAUCCAAAUUAUCCGAUAUUUUAUCUGCAUACUCCAAAUUUCUCGAUAUUUUAUCAUCAAUAUCUGAAUUACUUGAUAUUUAAUUAGAAUUUAUGAAAUUAUUCAAAAUUACACAAAAUUUUAUGUAAACCACAAACCAAACUGAUCCAAACAAGACUCAAACUAGAUCCAAAAAUUUUGAGUAUUACCUGAUUUUCAAUAUUUGUUUGGAACCAGCUGAAAAAAAA
rnacentral:lncRNA from 1 species